rnacentral:rRNA from 1 species
CGAGCGGCAGCGACUUAACUGAACCUUCGGGGAACGUUAAGGGCGGCGAGCGGCGGACGGGUGAGUAAUGCCUGGGAAUAUGCCCUGAUGUGGGGGAUAAGGAAACGAUAGCUAACACCGCAUAAUCUCUUCGGAGCAAAGAGGGGGACCUUCGGGCCUCUCGCGUCAGGAUUAGCCCAGGUGGGAUUAGCUUGUUGGUGAGGUAAUGGCUCACCAAGGCAACGAUCCCUAGCUGGUCUGAGAGGAUGAUCAGCCACACUGGAACUGAGACACGUCCAGACUCCUACGGAGGCAGCAGUGGGGAAUAUUGCACAUGGGGGAAACCCUGAUGCAGCCUGCCGCGUGUGUGAAGAAGCUUCGGGUUGUAAAGCACUUUCAGUAGGGAGGAAGUAGUGUAGUUAACACCUGCACUAUUUGACGUUACCUACAGAAGAAGCACCGGCUAACUCCGUGCCAGCAGCCGC